rnacentral:rRNA from 1 species
UAAAGGAAUUGGCGGGGGAGCACCACAAGGGGUGCGGCGUGCGGUUUAAUCUAACUUAACGCAGAGAAUCUCACCAGGGGCGACGGCAGGAUGAAAGACAGUCUAAAGGGCUUUCUUGACGAGCCGAGAGGUAGUGCAUGGCCGUCGUCAGCUCGUGCUGUGAAGUGUCCUCUUAAGUGAGGCAGCGAGCGAGACCUGUGCUUACAAUUGCCAUCGAGUCCAUUCGGACGAUCGGGCACAUUGUAGGGACUGCCCUGGAAACAGGGAGGAAGGUGCAGGCUACGGUAGGUCUGUAUGCUCCGAAUCUCCUGGGCUACACGCGCGCAACAAUGGUAAGGACAAUGGGCUGCGACACCGAAAGGUGAAGCUAAACCUCGAAACCUUAUCCAAGUCCAGAUUGAGGCUUGUAACUCAGCCUCAUGACGAUGGAAUCCCUAGUAAUCAGAUCUUAUCAUGGUCUGGUGAAUAUGUCCCUGCUCCUUGCACACACCGCCA